UGGUCGGACAUCAGGAGGUUAGUGCAAUUGCAUAAGCUAGCUUGACUGCGAGCGUGACGGCGCGAGCAGGUGCGAAAGCAGGUCAUAGUGAUCCGGUGGUUCUGAAUGGAAGGGCCAUCGCUCAACGGAUAAAAGGUACUCCGGGGAUAACAGGCUGAUACCGCCCAAGAGUUCAUAUCGACGGCGGUGUUUGGCACCUCGAUGUCGGCUCAUCACAUCCUGGGGCUGAAGUAGGUCCCAAGGGUAUGGCUGUUCGCCAUUUAAAGUGGUACGCGAGCUGGGUUUAGAACGUCGUGAGACAGUUCGGUCCCUAUCUGCCGUGGGCGCUGGAGAAUUGAGGGGGGCUGCUCCUAGUACGAGAGGACCGGAGUGGACGCAUCACUGGUGUUCGGGUUGUCAUGCCAAUGGCACUGCCCGGUAGCUAAAUGCGGAAGAGAUAAGUGCUGAAAGCAUCUAAGCACGAAACUUGCCCCGAGAUGAGUUCUCCCUGAGACUAUAAGUCUCCUGAAGGAACGUUGAAGACGACGACGUUGAUAGGCCGGGUGUGUAAGCGCAGCGAUGCGUUGAGCUAACCGGUACUAAUGAACCGUGAGGCUUAACCUUACAACGCCGAAG
rnacentral:rRNA from 1 species